rnacentral:rRNA from 1 species
UACGUAGGGUGCGAGCGUUAAUCGGAAUUACUGGGCGUAAAGCGUGCGCAGGCGGUCUCGCAAGACAGGUGUGAAAUCCCCGGGCUUAACCUGGGAACUGCACUUGUGACUGCAAGGCUGGAGUACGGCAGAGGGGGAUGGAAUUCCGCGUGUAGCAGUGAAAUGCGUAGAUAUGCGGAGGAACACCGAUGGCGAAGGCAAUCCCCUGGGCCUGUACUGACGCUCAUGCACGAAAGCGUGGGGAGCAAACAGG